GCCAGUGAUGGCAUGCGAAUCUCGAAAGCCUAUCUCAGUUCGGAUUGGAGGCUGAAACCCGCCUCCAUGAAGUUGGAUUCGCUAGUAAUCGCGCAUCAGCCAUGGCGCGGUGAAUACGUUCCCGGGCCUUGUACACACCGCCCGUCAAGCCAUGGGAGCCGGGGGUGCCUGAAGUUCGUUACCGCAAGGAUCGACCUAGGGCAAAACUGGUGACUGGGGCUAAGUCGUAACAAGGUACC
rnacentral:rRNA from 1 species